UGCCAAGAGCCUCCCAUCUCUGUGGGAGCUAAAGCCACCGACUCCGCGCCCGAUUUCUUUAAUGAAAUGCUGGGCUUCCUAGCAGGCGUGCGCUGUCGGGCGAGGUGUGUGGGUGCACAGCCCGCAUCGCGGGGGGGCUGUGCCGGUGAAUGCGGGGUCCCAUGGGUGCUGGCUAAGCCGGCCCUGCGUGCAGCAGGUGGAGGCCGGGCCAGGCCUCGGUCAGCAGGAGGCGGCCUCCCCACCCUCGGGGGCCUCCCGGGGGCCAAGGGGGACGGUGCGGCCUGUCUUUAGGGCGUUGGGUAGGAGGGGAAACAACCGUGGUUACGUGCUUCCUGCUCCUCCGGGGAGAGGGUUGGAGAAGCCUGAAAAGCCCCGGCCUCCGGUCGGAGUGAUCUCCAGCGGGGGUCUGUCCCCGCGCCCAGCCUGGUCUGCGAUGCUGGUGGCGGAGAAGGCUGGCGGGUGGAAGCACCGCCCGCGGAGAAGGGACUCCGUUUUCUGGCCUGUGAAGUUGGGACCAGCCCGAUGGCCUCGAAGAUUGCAAGUGGGCUCAGAGCUCAUGAUCUCUGGGCUGUGGACACCUAAUCUCUCUACAAACUCUUCAGUAUCAGAAAGCCUCGCAAGUUAUUUGUUGGUAAGUUAACCCAUCUUUCUAAUGCUUCAAAACUAGUUUCUAAUAUUUAGGUAAUUCCUUUUCCUAAGAGCAAAUUCUUCAAAGUUUGGAGGAAAAUUAAAAAAAAAUUUUUUUGGAAUAUUUUUAAAAAAAAGACUUUUGAAUUUCCAAUAUUAAUAAGCGGGCCUAUGUUAAAGAUUAAUUUUUUACAAAGUACUUAGAACCUUCAGGCCCAUAACCAUUAGAUGAAUGCAAAUGAAUGCCUAUCAAAGAUUUUAUUUAUCUCAUUAAUUAAUGAGGGAGCCAAUACGAUGUUAUAACCAGCUCAAAAUAGAAUUCAGCACAUACAUACACAGCGGCAAUCAGGAACAUCGAAGUGAAUUAACAAAUAGAUGCAAAACUGGUCGAAAUCCACAGAGCAAUAAUCAAUUGCAUCACCACACAACACAAUUUGCAUUUCUAGAAUAAUAAUUGCUAUUAUUAGUGGAAAAUGGAAUAAACAAUGUUCUAUCAAAACA
rnacentral:lncRNA from 12 species